UCAAACAAACAAACAAAGAAGGUAUAUGUGGUGUAGCUGUUUGAGAAUACUCGUGUCGACCAGCAAUGACGUCAUAGGAGGCGACGGCGCUGGCGGCAAAAAUAACUUUUUGGUACAUUGUAAAUAAAGACACGUUACGAAGACAGUUGGACUCACGCAUUAUAUUUAAUAACGCAACAGUUUGGAGUCAUUUUGAAUAUUGGUCAGCACAGACAUGGCUUAUCCAUCGUCAAUUUCCGACUUGCGAUCGUCUCCAUCUUCGGAAACAGUCAGUCAUUGCAGAGGGAGCCACAGCUGUAUUUAUCCUGCAUGAGACCAGGAUUCUGUUACCAGUCCCUCAACGAAAGCACAAAGUUCCGCCUGAGCAGCAGAAAUCAGAUAAUGGGCAAUUUCAGCAAGGGGUGUGACAGCUCUGCUUCUAUGGGCAAAGUCCAGGUAAUAAGACAGGAGGUGGGAUGAGAUAGGAGAAGUGAUGAAGAAAACUGUUGCGUGAUAAAGAUCUUUCACAGCCUCUGGGUGAAGUUCUCAGGGAAUACUCCUUUGGUGGCAUUCUCCUUUUUCUGCAUCCAAUCUUCUUGUUUCAUUCCCAUCAACCAGCCGUCAUCCUUAAGACGAGGACAAACACAUCCAGUCAUUAUCGACUCUGCAUGAAAAAUCGAAAGUUGUGUGUGCGUACCUGUUCCUCUGGGUUGUCAAAGGGAAUUACUAGCACCACAUCUCCUGCCUUCAUCUCAAGUUCGUCAGUGUCGUUGGCUGCAUAGUCAUGCAUCACCUGGACCUAUACCAUACACACACAGACAAUAUCAGAUAUAAGAUUGUUCUGCUUCAAUUCUCCUACUCGGGAUCAGGUCUUACCUUAAACAAAAAUCCAGGGGGCAUGCCUGGUGACUCCGCGUCUUCCUCUGCUGCUGUCGCUAUUGGUUCUUCAUUUACCACAGGUGUCUGGACGGGAGAAGACCACAUAUUUAGCUUUAAAAAGGAUGAACAAUCCAGAAUUUCUGCAAUAGUUUCACAAUGAGAUACAGGAAUAUCAACCAAAAAAAUGUUUUUCUUCCAAAAUUUUUUGGAAGAAAACCAUGCUAACUGUCUUGGUAGCCUUGAUAGCUUCAUGCAAGAUCUCACUUUGUAAGUAAGGGUGAGUCUGAGAAAGAUGAAGCAUCGGACCAGAAUUACUCAGCAAGAGCUGGUUGUUGAUGUCAAGGGAGUUGGGAGCACAGUUACUAAGAAACAGUUUUCUAUGCCGCUUAUCCUCACUGGAGCCUACCCCAGCUGUCUUCGGGUGAGAGGCAGGGUACACCCUGGAUUGGUCGCCAGCCAAUCACAGGGCACAUAUCGACAAACAACCAUUCACACUCACAUUCAUACCUAUGGACAAUUUGGAGUCGGCAAUUAACCUAGCAUGUUUUUGGAAUGUGGGAGGAAACCGGAGUACCUGGAGAAAACCCAGACACGCACGGGGAGAACAUGCAAACUCCACACAGAGAUGCCAAGCGGAGAUUUGAACCCAGAUAUCCUGACUGUGUGGCUAACAUGCUAACCACUCGUCCACGUUGCGGCUACUUGAGAGCCCACCUCCUUGAAGGUACAAGUACAUGUGUUAGCCUGUCUGACGUUUACCAGAAUGAUGCAGAGAAGGCUUAUGGAAGGUGUGUCCAAAUGCAGCUAUCCAUUUUCAAUUGGCUUGUAUCAAAGUCUAACUAUAUAAUGGAAUAUGGCCCACAUAUGACAUUUACUUAACUUUGUGUACUUUGUACAUUGAACACUAGGUGGCUGCCACUGUCUCCAUAAAGAAAGUGAUCACGGAAUGUAUGUAGGAAACAGAAAUGGCAGAACCAAACAGAUGCAAGGUUGCAAGCAAAUGCAAUGAAAAGGGCCGAAUGAUGACUCCUUGAAUUGGUCAAUAAAAACUGAAUCUGAACAUGGAAUCGCACGGAAAAUUAUGUGAAUGAAAUGUCAAACAUAUACAAAUAUCUUAUAUAUAUAUAAGUGGCCCCAGCAUCCUUUGAGUUUUCCGUAUGUGGCCCUCAGUGGAAAACGUUUGGUUUAGGGCGGACACACUAUUUGCUUGCUAAGGUACAGGAAGACUUCAUCGCCAUGUGCCAUACAAUCUUGGAUGAGAAUCUCAUAAGGACCUAAAAAAAAUGAUCAGGAUAACAGAGGAGUAGCUCAGGAGAUACUAUGUCAUAAAUAUUUUGUGACUUGGAGUUCCUGACCAAAAGCCUUGAAACUUUCACAAUUUGGAAAGUAUCCAUAAAGAGGAGUGCAGCAAAAUAUCCCUCCUGACGUGUCUGCAACCCUGCAUCAGCUGCUACAAACAUCUUGACUCAAUCGAAUCAAGUUUUAUUUGAAUAUCCUUUACUGUUUUUCCUGGAUUUUUGUAAUCUGUCACCAACAAACCUACCAUAAAAUGAUGGACUGAAAAGAUUAGAAAAUCUUGCCAAGCAAGCAUACUAACCACAUACCGUGCUGCCCCGUUUUUUAACCA